GACUUCGUGAUAAAAGACAUGAUUCAGAAAUUAGAACAAGACAACGGCGUUCAACUUCUUAUCCGAGAUCGGUCCUUCAUACCAGGUGAAUUCAAAUGCCAACAGAUCGUGCGCUCCAUCCAAGAGAGCAGAAAAACGAUAUGUGUCGUCUCAAAACGAUACCUGAAGUCCGCUUGGAGGGACUAUGAACUGAACAUGGCUAGAGUAGAAGGAGUGGAGGUCAGGAAAUCCAUGAGAUACGUCAUUCUUAUUCUUCUUCCCGAGGUUUGUAACGGUGGCUAUCCUAAAAAGAUUUCGGAUUUCUUAAAGAGAGACUGCUUCAUUGAAUACCCUGACGACCCUGCUGGAUACGAGGAGUUUUGGCAAAGGCUUUGUAGUGCUUUACAAGAGAACGCCCAGGAUUAACAUAAUGUUGGUUUCUGUUCCAUACACAUCGGCACUUUAACCACAUAUGAUUCUCAUGAGGAUUACCUUUCAGAUGAAAAUCAUAUAUAAUAAGCAUGUGUAUCAUACAUGUUUGUAUAAUGAUUUAAAUGAGUAUCAUAUGUGGCAGAUCAAAUGAGAAUCAUAUGCACAUUCAUAUGUGGCGAAGUUGCUUGUUUAGAAAUAAAGCAGGAAAGCUUCCAUUUUUGAUAGCUUGCAAAGACUGACAAUACAUCAUUCUCCUUAAUCAAAAAAUGGCGUGCUUAUCCGAAACUCAUUAUUUCUAGUAUUCGUACUAGUACAUCAAAUAAAAAAUCCUACUAGAAUUGAAUAUGAUAAGUUUCACCCUCUAGUUAAACAUUUCUUUCAAACACGUUUUACAGAUUUUAUUUUUUUGUUUUGUUUUUAAAAUUAUUUAAACCAUCCUAAUAAACAUUGAUUGCUCAUGUG
rnacentral:misc_RNA from 1 species